CCAGAACUCUCUUUUCUUUCUGCAGUGAAUUUCUUUAUUUUAAACAUGUGUGUUUUUCACAUCCCAACUGUAUGACUGGAUUGACUGGGCUAUGAGACUUUUAGGGCAAGGGCUAAAAAUUGUAAAAAUAGCUUUUUUUUUAGUAGACCGGAGAAAUGGAUUCAGUUGCCAUGUUAAUUUAGGGGUCAAGAGGAUUCAGAUUCAAGGCUCUCAUCCAUUGAAUAUUUGGGCUCUGUUUGUGGUAUGAAGAACAAGGUGACAGAGCACACAGAUAAGGCAUAGAGCCACAGGAAAGCCUGAAUCACAGGCCAGCUGCUCUUUCCUCCAGAAACCCUUGUGAAUUCAUCAUCCCCUAAUGGGAAAAGGUGAGUAACAUGUCCAAAAAGGGUAAAGUGGAACAUACAAUUACUGAGGACAUGGUGAAAAGG
rnacentral:lncRNA from 1 species